rnacentral:lncRNA from 1 species
UGAUUCACAAAUAUAAUUUAAAGUAGUCAUAGUAAGUGUGACACUCUAUAAUCCUUGUUUCUAACUUACAUCCAGACUUUAAUGUAUAGUUGUUCUAAAUUGCUAUUAAUUAUAUGAAGAAUGUUGAGGCAAACGUAUAGAAGAUGACACAAUGCCACCGCAUGUCUAAUGUUCUGACCACUUGAACAGUAGUAACAUGCUCAUAAUACAUGUAGAAUUCAUGUUUUCCAAUAUAUGCACAAUAUGACAAGACCAAAGAGUCUGCGUUGCAUAGUUACUAAGGUUGAUGGCCUUAUUUGGCGAUGAAAGAAAGUAGAAAUGACUAAACUGCAUAUUAGAGUGAGCCUGUGGGCCUAUAUGCAAGUUACAGAAUUAUUUGGCAAUAAUAUAAACUAGCUAGAAGGCCUUAGUCUCAAAUGACCGAAUGGAGAAGGAUCCUAUCGUCAUCCACUCAUCCUUGAUGGAUCACAAAU